rnacentral:rRNA from 1 species
GACGAACGCUGGCGGCGUGCUUAACACGUGCAAGUCGAACGGAAAGGCCCUGCUUUUGUGGGGUGCUCGAGUGGCGAACGGGUGAGUAACACGUGAGUAACCUGCCCUUGACUUUGGGAUAACUUCAGGAAACUGGGGCUAAUACCGGAUAGGAGCUCCUGCUGCAUGGUGGGGGUUGGAAAGUUUCGGCGGUUGGGGAUGGACUCGCGGCUUAUCAGCUUGUUGGUGGGGUAGUGGCUUACCAAGGCUUUGACGGGUAGCCGGCCUGAGAGGGUGACCGGCCACAUUGGGACUGCGGUACGGCCCAGACUCCUACGGGAGGCAGCAGUGGGGAAUAUUGCACAAUGGGCGGACGCCUGAUGCAGCAACGCCGCGUGCGGGAUGACGGCCUUCGGGUUGUAAACCGCUUUCGCCUGUGACGAAGCGUGAGUGACGGUAAUGGGUAAAGAAGCACCGGCUAACUACGUG